rnacentral:misc_RNA from 1 species
AACUUUCGACAAUGGAUCUCUUGGCUCUCGCGUCGAUGAAGAACGCAGCGAAAUGCGAUAAGUAAUGUGAAUUGCAGAAUUCAGUGAAUCAUCGAAUCUUUGAACGCACCUUGCGCUCCUUGGUAUUCCGAGGAGCAUGCCUGUUUGAGUGUCAUUAAAUUCUCAACCUUCCAGCUUUUAUUAGCUUGGUUAGGCUUGGAUGUGGGGGUUGCAGGCUUCACUUAUGAGGUCGGCUCUCCUUAAAUGCAUUAGCGGAACUUUUGUGGACCGUCUAUUGGUGUGAUAAUUAUCUACGCCGUGGAUGUGAAGCAGCUUUAUAAAGUUCAGCUUCUAACAGUCCAUUGACUUGGACAAUUUUGACAAUUUGACCUCAAAUCAGGUAGGACUACCCGCUGAACUUAAGCAUAUCAAUAAGCGGAGGCU